rnacentral:rRNA from 1 species
UAUGGGGGGACCAUCCUCCAAGGCUAAAUACUCCUGACUGACCGAUAGUGAACCAGUACCGUGAGGGAAAGGCGAAAAGAACCCCGGCGAGGGGAGUGAAAAAGAACCUGAAACCGUGUACGUACAAGCAGUGGGAGCCUCUUUAUGGGGUGACUGCGUACCUUUUGUAUAAUGGGUCAGCGACUUAUAUUCUGUAGCAAGGUUAACCGUAUAGGGGAGCCGAAGGGAAACCGAGUCUUAACUGGGCGUUAAGUUGCAGGGUAUAGACCCGAAACCCGGUGAUCUAGCCAUGGGCAGGUUGAAGGUUGGGUAACACUAACUGGAGGACCGAACCGACUAAUGUUGAAAAAUUAGCGGAUGACCUGUGGCUGGGGGUGAAAGGCCAAUCAAACCGGGAGAUAGCUGGUUCUCCCCGAAAGCUAUUUAGGUAGCGCCUCGUGAACUCAUCUUCGGGGGUAGAGCACUGUUUCGGCUAGGGGGCCAUCCCGGCUUACCAACCCGAUGCAAACUACGAAUACCGAAGAAUGUUAUCACGGGAGACACACGGCGGGUGCUAACGUCCGUCGUGAAGAGGGAAACAACCCAGACCGCCAGCUAAGGUCCCAAAGUCAUGGUUAAGUGGGAAACGAUGUGGGAAGGCACAGACAGCCAGGAUGUUGGCUUAGAAGCAGCCAUCAUUUAAAGAAAGCGUAAUAGCUCACUGGUCGAGUCGGCCUGCGCGGAAGAUGUAACGGGGCUAAACCAUGCACCGAAGCUGCGGCAGCGACGCUUAUGCGUUGUUGGGUAGGGGAGCGUUCUGUAAGCCGUUGAAGGUGUGCUGUGAGGCAUGCUGGAGGUAUCAGAAGUGCGAAUGCUGACAUAAGUAACGAUAAAGCGGGUGAAAAGCCCGCUCGCCGGAAGACCAAGGGUUCCUGUCCAACGUUAAUCGGGGCAGGGUGAGUCGACCCCUAAGGCGAGGCCGAAAGGCGUAGUCGAUGGGAAACAGGUUAAUAUUCCUGUACUUGGUGUUACUGCGAAGGGGGGACGGAGAAGGCUAUGUCAGCCGGGCGACGGUUGUCCCGGUUUAAGCAUGUAGGCGGAGGUUCCAGGUAAAUCCGGUACCUUGUUAACGCUGAGGUGUGAUGACGAGGCACUACGGUGCUGAAGUGAUAAAUGCCCUGCUUCCAGGAAAAGCCUCUAAGCAUCAGGUAACACGAAAUCGUACCCCAAACCGACACAGGUGGUCAGGUAGAGAAUACCAAGGCGCUUGAGAGAACUCGGGUGAAGGAACUAGGCAAAAUGGUGCCGUAACUUCGGGAGAAGGCACGCUGAUGUGUAGGUGAAGCCCCUGCGGGUGGAGCUGAAAUCAGUCGAAGAUACCAGCUGGCUGCAACUGUUUAUUAAAAACACAGCACUGUGCAAACACGAAAGUGGACGUAUACGGUGUGACGCCUGCCCGGUGCCGGAAGGUUAAUUGAUGGGGUUAGCGGCAACGCGAAGCUCUUGAUCGAAGCCCCGGUAAACGGCGGCCGUAACUAUAACGGUCCUAAGGUAGCGAAAUUCCUUGUCGGGUAAGUUC